rnacentral:rRNA from 1 species
GCUACGGGUGGCAGCAGUGAGGAAUAUUGGUCAAUGGCCGUAAGGCUGAACCAGCCAAGUAGCGUGAGGGAUGACUGCCCUAUGGGUUGUAAACUUCUUUUAUGCGGGGAUAAAGUUCCCCACGUGUGGAUGUUUGUAGGUACCUUAUGAAUAAGGAUCGGCUAAUUCCGUGCCAGCAGCCGCGGUAAUACGGAAGGUGCGGGCGUUAUCCGGAUUUAUUGGGUUUAAAGGGAGCGUAGGCCGGUCCUUAAGCGUGCCGUGAAAUUUUGUGGCUCAAACAUGAGAGUGCGGUGGAAACUGGGGGACUUGAGUAGGCGGAGGGCAGACGGAAUUCGUGGUGUAGCGGUGAAAUGCUUAGAUAUCACGAAGAACCCCGAUUGCGAAGGCAGCGUACCGGAGCAAGACUGACGCUGAGGCUCGAAAGCGCGGGUAUCAAACAGGAUUAGAUACCCGGGUAGUC